rnacentral:lncRNA from 1 species
UCAAUUUCAUUAACAACUAAACAUGGGUUAUGUUUGGCAAGAUCCUCAAGGUCUACUACAUAUACAUUGCCACGUCUUAUUCCUUUAAAAACUAAACUAUUGUCAUUUGAGUUGGUUAUGAUGCAUAAAGAUGGUUUGAACAAAACAUCAAAACCUCUAUCACACAAUUGACUAAUGCUAAGUAGAUUAUGCUUAAGACCAUCAACAUAUCGAACAUUAUCAAUAAAUGUUGAAGGGGUGAUUUGUACUUUACCUAUACCAAUGAUGUGACCUUCGUUAUUGUCUCCAAAUGUCACAGCACCUCCCU